UAGGUGGUUUGUCACGUCGUCUGUGAAAUCCCGGGGCUUAACCUCGGGCGUGCAGGCGAUACGGGCAUAACUUGAGUGCUGUAGGGGAGACUGGAAUUCCUGGUGUAGCGGUGAAAUGCGCAGAUAUCAGGAGGAACACCAAUGGCGAANGCAGGUCUCUGGGCAGUAACUGACGCUGAGGAGCGAAGCAUGGGUAGCGAACAGGAUUAGAUACCCUGGUAGUCCAUGCCGUAAACGGUGGGCGCUAGGUGUANGGGACUUCCACGUCUUCUGUGCCGCAGCUAACNCAUUAANCGCCCCCCUGGGGAAUACGGCCNCAAGGCUAAACUCAAAGAAUUGACGGGGGCCNCCCAANCGGC
rnacentral:rRNA from 1 species